AUUGAACGCUGGCGGCAUGCUUUACACAUGCAAGUCGAACGGUAACAGGUUAAGCUGACGAGUGGCGAACGGGUGAGUAAUGUAUCGGAACGUGCCCAGUCGUGGGGGAUAACGUAGCGAAAGCUAUGCUAAUAACGCAUACGAUCUGUGGAUGAAAGCGGGGGCACGUAAGGCCUCGCGCGAUUGGAGCGGCAGAUAUCAGUUGAGGUAAUUGGUGGGGUAAAGGCCCACCAAGCCAACGAUCUGUAGCUGGUCUUGAGAGGACGACCAGCCACACUGGGACUGAGACACGGCCCAGACUCCUACGGGAGGCAGCAGUGGGGAAUUUUGGACAAUGGGGGCAACCCUGAUCCAGCAAUGCCGCGUGCAGGAAGAAGGCCUUCGGGUUGUAAACUGCUUUUGUACGGAACGAAAAGGCUCUGGUUAAUACCUGGGGUUUAUGACGGUACCGUAAGAAUAAGCACCGGCUAACUACGUGCCAGCCGCCGCAGUAA
rnacentral:rRNA from 1 species